rnacentral:rRNA from 1 species
CAAUAGCGUAUAUUAAAGUUGUUGCGGUAAAAAAGCUCGUAGUUGGAUUUCUACCGAAGAUAGCCGGUCGGGUCUUCGACCUUGUAUCUGGUUUUGUCUUUGGUAUCCUCAUAGGGAACGUUUCUGCGCUUUAUUGCGUGGUGCGGUAUCUAUGACUUUUACUUUGAGGAAAUUAGAGUGUUCACGGCAGGCAAACGCCUUGAAUAUAUUAGCAUGGAAUAAUAACAUAGGAUCUUCGUCCUAUUUUGUUGGUUUCUAGGGCUAAGAUAAUGAUUAAUAGGGAUAAUUGGGGGCAUCUGUAUCAACGCGUCAGAGGUGGAAUUCUUGGAUUUGUUAAAGACGGACUACUGCGAAAGCAUUUGCCAAGGAUGUUUUCAUUGA